GAAUUGCAGAAAUGCCCAAGAAGUGGAUGUUCUUCAAUUCAAAUUUCUUAUACUGCCAUGAUGGAAUUCAAACCCCCAUCCUCAAAACAUUAGCCCGAGUCUCCAGUUUGCUAGUCCAGUGACAUUACCAUUAGACCAUCAGCUUCUCACAGAUACAAAUUAAUAUGAUCUACCAGUAUUUAGGACAUCUUGCUUGUGCACCUGGCAAUGGAUGAGCACUGAUAAUCUUCUAGCUUUCAAUUCAUUUGUGUGGGUUAGCUGGCUAUUCCCCACAUCAGCUCGUGCUUGAAGCAUGCACAGUUGUUGGCUAUGCAAACAGUUUGCAGAUCACUGUGUUUAUAUCCUGGACUCAAGAAGCAUAUAUGUGCAGUAUGUAGCCUUCACAAAACACCAUUUAUGUUCUGUAUACUAUAAAAUUCUCCAAAGGGAUCAAUCAGAAAGCGUUUGUGACAGAAAAUUUAAUUUAACUGAUUAAAUGCAUCAAAGUGAUUAGUUUAGUGAUACUGUGAACCGUUGAUUAUCAUUUGCUGUUCAGAAGCCAACUUAAUACUAUUAUUAGGUUUAAAAAAUCAAGUUAGCUACCUACAAUUUGAAGGAAUAUUGAUGGCUGUGUUGAUAUUUAGAAAGAAAAU